CAGGAUCUUCCUCUGUCUCCCAGGCUGGAAUGCAGUGGUGUAAUCAUAACUCACUGUAACCUCCAACUCCUGGGCUCGACUGAUGCUCCUGCCUCAGCCUCCCGAGUAACUGGGACUGCAGGUGCAUGCCAUCAUGCCCUGUAGGAUUUUUUAAAGGUCUGGGGACCCCAGAAAUGCUGCAUUUCUAAUAAGGAGGUGAGUGGUGCUGAUGCAGCUGGUUUGAGGACCCAUUUUGAAUGUCAGGUCUUGAAGGUUGGCAGCCAGGCUGCGUCUUUCUUGAACUGUGUGAGCAUGGAGCCAUCGACCUCAAGCCUACUCCCCACUUAGUCAACAGAAGGCUUGGUUUUCAACCUCUGCCCAAAGGGAACACCCCACCGAAUUCCUGUUUCCAGUCUGAGAAUUUCUGUUUGGGGCCUUGGUGCUGUGUUAAUGAAAGACUCAUGGGAAAUAUAACAGCUGGUGCUGGUACCCAGAGCAGAAGAGCUACAAUUGAUUGGAACAUGGAGGGCUCCUUGUAGGUGCUAUAAAUUGCAUUGUCGGGUUAGUGUAAAGUUACUAAAAU
rnacentral:lncRNA from 1 species